rnacentral:tRNA from 1 species
GCCCAGAUGGCGAAAUUGGUAGACGCGCAGGUUUCAGGUACCUGUGCCGCAAGGCGUGGAGGUUCGAGUCCUCUUUUGGGCACCA